AGGUAGUAAUUUUUAUUAAAACCUAAUUAAUAAUGGCGGCUUAAGUCUCAUUAGAGGAACUUGUUUUUUAAUCGACAAUCCACGAUUAAUUUCACUUUAAAUAUAAAUUUAUAUAUCGCCGUCUAAAGAAAUUUUAUUAAAAAUUUCUCAAAAAAAAAUAUAAAAAGUUAGGUCAAGGUGUAGUUAAUAUUAAAGUUUAUAAUGAGUUACAUUAAAAUUUAUUUAAGGAAAUUUUUUCAAAUCCAAAUAGAAAAAGGAUUUAACUGCAAUAAUUUAAUAUUAUUUUUUUAUGAAUAAAUUAACUAAAGUGC
rnacentral:rRNA from 1 species